rnacentral:rRNA from 1 species
AGUGAACGCUGGCGGUAGGCCUAACACAUGCAAGUCGAACGGCAGCACAGUAAGAGCUUGCUCUUACGGGUGGCGAGUGGCGGACGGGUGAGGAAUACAUCGGAAUCUACUUUUUCGUGGGGGAUAACGUAGGGAAACUUACGCUAAUACCGCAUACGACCUACGGGUGAAAGCAGGGGAUCUUCGGACCUUGCGCGAUUGAAUGAGCCGAGGUCGGAUUAGCUAGUUGGCGGGGUAAAGGCCCACCAAGGCGACGAUCCGUAGCUGGUCUGAGAGGAUGAUCAGCCACACUGGAACUGAGACACGGUCCAGACUCCUACGGGAGGCAGCAGUGGGGAAUAUUGGACAAUGGGCGCAAGCCUGAUCCAGCCAUACCGCGUGGGUGAAGAAGGCCUUCGGGUUGUAAAGCCCUUUUGUUGGGAAAGAAAAGCAGCAGGUUAAUACCCCGCUGUUCUGACGGUACCAAAAGAAUAAGCACCGGCUAACUUCGUG